rnacentral:rRNA from 1 species
GAUGAACGCUGGCGGCGUGCCUAAUACAUGCAAGUCGAGCGAACGGACGAGAAGCUUGCUUCUCUGAUGUUAGCGGCGGACGGGUGAGUAACACGUGGAUAACCUACCUAUAAGACUGGGAUAACUUCGGGAAACCGGAGCUAAUACCGGAUGAUAUUUUGAACCGCAUGGUUCAAAAGUGAAAGACGGUCUUGCUGUCACUUAUAGAUGGAUCCGCGCUGCAUUAGCUAGUUGGUAAGGUAACGGCUUACCAAGGCAACGAUGCAUAGCCGACCUGAGAGGGUGAUCGGCCACCUUGGAACUGAGACACGGUCCAGACUCCUACGGGAGGCAGCAGUAGGGAAUCUUCCGCAAUGGGGGAAAGCCUGACGGAGCAAAGCCGCGUGAGUGAUGAAGGUCUUCGGAUCGUAAAACUCUGUUAUUAGGGAAGAACAUAUGUGUAAGUAACUGUGAACAUCUUGACGGUACCUAAUCAGAAAGCCACGGCUAACUACGUG